rnacentral:lncRNA from 1 species
AAAAAAAAAAAAAUGUACAAACUUUACCACAUGUAUUUCAUUGUCCACCUACUCUGCUGGAUUAUUAACAACAAUUUUGAAAGGAGCAACAUCAGAGUAUCGAAUCCGAAAUAAUAAGCUCAGGAACAAAUUUCAAUAGCCAUUUCCUUAUUUUAGCUACAAAUUUCCAACAUUAUUCAAAAAUCACAUGCACCUGAACAAACACUACAGGGCCAAAGUGUCAAUGCGGCGUCCGGGACCAUCACUAGAUACAAACAUUUUAAUAUCUUACUACUUGUGCGAUACGAAACUAUCGUCGUACGUACUAUUAAUUUUUUUAACGAACAAAAUGAGAACAGUAAAAACCCAAAAUCGCAUUUCACUGCUACAUUCAACGAUCGAUCACUUAAAAUGACCGAGUUACACUACGUCCCCGCGAAUUUCAGGGGAUGAGAACGCACCUAAGACUCGAUUCGCGACUCGAGGAGUCGAAGCGUUGGAGGUGAGAUAAGUAGGGAGAGAAGAAGGGUUGGGAUUUGAAUUUGAAUUUGAAUGCGGGUCGUCAUCUCCUCGGCUUCUCGUGAUUCCGCCAUUGCUGAGGAUAGUAAUUUUGAAGAGCACGAAGAAGCAGAGGAAGAGGACGAAGAGGAGGGAGAGUUGGUUCUUCUUCUUCCUGCCCCACUUCUGCAUCUUCUCCUCGGAGAGACACAGGGAGAGAGAUUUCGGCAUUAAUGGGAAGCUUCUUGGCUCUUGAUUGCAGCAGAAGCGGAGAGAGACGCGAGGUGAGGGGCCCUUCCGUGUCCAGCCCCAGUACCGCAUGUCUUUUGAAAAACCGUUUCUACGUGUAUGGACCUAUUUAGACCCUGUAUGCGUGACAUAAAUAAUUUUUAAAUAUACAACAUAAUAUGUUAUGUUUUAUGCAUAUCUAUAUCUAUAUCUAUAUUAUUUCAUUAUAAUAUAAAAUAAAUAGUGUUUCCAACUCCAAUGAAGUUGGAAUCCUUAAAUCAUUUAGCUGCAGUGAUUAAUUAUUUUCCGGUAUUUUGAGGCACCACCUACUGACCUGUAACUUAGGAAAAUUACUGUUGAGGGCGUUUCGAUAGUCCAUUUGGAACAAUUAUUGCUCCAGCACGAACAUUAAAGCGAAGAAAAUAUCUCGUGCUUUGUCAGCGUCUUAUAAUGAAGUUUUGCAAUUAUGGGAGUAAAUUGCACUGCUAUUCCUAAACUUUUGGACAAUUGAGUUCCACUGAUCCUCAAAAUUUUUAGAUUUCAUAUUAAAAUAUUUACAAAUUUAAAAUCAUUUUCUUUUAGCUCUUAUUCUUAUUUAUUGCUAGGAAAAAAAAAAAAUAUUUGCACACCCUAAGAUGAAUAGAUGGAUGGAUUUGUUUCUCUUUAUAAUUAGAAAUAAUAAUAAUAAAAAAAGAAGUAAAUUCCUCUUUGCUGUUGUAAGGGAAAGUGCCAGAGGAAGCAAGAUGCCAAAAUGGAAUGUUUGGGGUGUCAUUUGGAGUGUUUUACAUCAGGUAUCUAUGAUUUCUAUUUUAGGGUCUCUUUGGCAACUUUGGAAUUUAAUUCUUAAUAUUUUUUUAUGAUGAAAAUAGUACUUGCUCAAAACAGCAUCAUUUUAUUUAUAUUAAAAAGAAGAAGUUUGUAUUUAAGAUAUAUGUGUGAAUUAUUUUGAAUUAUUAACCUUGGAUUUUAUAAAAAAGACACUCUAUUUUGUAGAGAGAGAGUUGGAAAGAAUAGGAGAUAAAUGGCAAAAAUAUUUUAUGCUCACUUUACACAAAAAAAUAUGUAUCUACUAAGCCAUUCAAACAGUUCAUCUGGAAAAUAAAUAAAUAAAUAUAUAAAUAAAUAUGUACAACACUAAUCAAAGUAUUUUGUUUUUAACAAAAACCCACUUCUGUAAAAUUCUCAAACAGGAUCUUAGCUUUGUAAUAAAUUAGUAAAAAAGGAGCUUCCAUUUUUUUUUCCUCUCUUUCUUCGUUUUAGUUCAUUGAACUUUGGAGGUGAUAUAGUUUAUUCCUUCAAUAAUUAUCAAUUAAUAACGUAUACAACAAGAUUAUAAAUUUCCACUUACAGUUUCCAAAAGUUGAUUUCCUAUGCACAUAUUGUUGUAAUUAAAAAAAAAUAACACUUCAUUAAUGGAUUGAAUUGGUUCUAUCAACUUUAAGUUGAAGAUAGUUUCCUAAGUUGAUGACAUCUGAGGUUUACACUGAUAAGUGCAAUUGCAAUUUUAUUGGAAGAGUAAAACCUCAUUUGUUCCUGUCAUAAGCUUUUUCUUUAAAUUCUGUCGUAACCGUUCUCUCCGUAAUAUAACAGUUUUUCCUCGAGGAAUUUAUCUAUAUCUAUAUCUAUACAUUAAUUUCCAUGACUAAAUCCUACAUGCACCCAUCCCUUUAAUUUGAGGAGAAGUGGGGUUUAUUUUUUUUUUUUUUUUUUUUUUUUUUUUACUUUUUCUCAUUUUCUUUAUAUUUACUAAGGCCUAAAAUUUUUUUUUUAACCCUAUUUCUUUACCUUUUGGUCUUCCACCCUCUUUCUUAAAUUUAUAAAUUUGAAUCUUUGUUGUGUUUUAUAUUCGGAGUCAAUUAAUUAAUAAAAGUGAUAUAUAUAUAUAUAUAUAUAUAUAUAUAUAUAUAUAUAUAUAAUAUAAAUUAUCUUACGUGUUAUUGUGAGCCUUUCUUUAGUCAUAUUAACUGUAAUAUGAUAUUUUUUUUUAUUAUUGUGUUAUAAAAAUAAUUUUAAUCAUCCAUUUGCAUGAUAUGCGACAUCUUUUGAACAAGAUUGAAUAAUUUUGUUGGAACGAUUGAUUCUUUUUCAUUAUAGUUUUUUUGUUAAAAAAAGUGUUUGUUUAUAAUAUAGACUAUAUUUAUUAUAUUUUUAUACUAAACUGAUAUUUUAUUUUUUACAAAUUUUUAUUUUAACAGUAUCUACCCACCGUAACACGCGGGUCACUACACUAGUCGUUGCAUGAUUAGCAUAGUCUUAGAUACAUUAUUACUUAGGCUCCGUCACAACGCAUAAGCGUCUUAUUUAGUAUUUCAUUUUAAUUUAAUUAAAAAAUUUGUUAUGAGGUAGAUUAAGUAGUGCAAUCAAAUCAUAGUCAUUUUUUAAAAAUUAAAGGGGUUUUAGGCUUUCAUAGAAAAAAUGUUUUAUGCUUUGUAGUGUUUAGUUUAUAGAAAAAAAUAAUAGUUUUUCAUCGGUAUUUCUUUGAUUGAAAGGAAAAAAAAUAUAUUUGUUUAGUUCUGUAAAAAAAUCGUGAAUAAAAAUAAAUUUACGCAACGCGAUUUUCAUUUUCUGGCGAAAUUGAGAGAAAAAAAUACUUUAAUUUUCUCAAAUCGGUAAAAAUAUUUUUUUGAUUUUUUUUUUUUUUUUUACAGUUAAACAAACACACGAGAAAAAUAAGUUUCCAACUAAACACACUCCAAGGUAAAUCAUAUUGUAGGUGAAACAUGCGAUCCAAGCCCUGUUAUGAGCCUAUGUUUAAGGCCCGUAGACCGGGUCCAACCCGACAGACAAAUUUAAACGGGUCGGGCCAGUUUUGUUCGGGCGUAAACAUGUCAUUUGGUCCUGACCCGUUAACAUAGUGGGCCCAAAGCGUGAUUGGUUUUCGAUCCAUUGGGCUGAGCCAGAUCAACAGAGAUGCCCCAAAAUAGUAUUGGGCCAUGAUGAUCCAACUUAUAGGACUAUAACGAUUUAUGCGCAACGAGCACAUAAUUUUCUUUUAAUUACGCAUUAACGGUGAUUCAAACUUCCGAUCUAUUAUAUCAGCAAUAAGCAACAACAAAAAUUACCUGUUUCAUUUCUCAAGAUUCCAACACUAUGAUUGAGAUACAGGUCCCGAAGACUACAUUAUUUUAGGGAAUAUUACGUAUCAUACAAAGGCCAACUAAUCUACGAAAAUACAAAUAGUGGGUUCUGGGGCCAUCUAUUUUGAUGUCAUAUUAAUAAUUAUUUCAUCUUAAAAAGAUAUAAACCGUCAAUGAAUAAUAUUUUAAUAUAUUAUACUCAGCAUGCACGACCGUGGAUUUAAAAACUCGGGCCCCAUACGGAAGAAGCCACCAAAUUUCGACUUGUUCAGAUCAGAUCAGGCUCGAAUCUCACCUCGACUCGGGAAGGUACAAGAUUGGGCCCGAGCCAAAUUGGAUUCAAAUUCCAAAUAAAUUAAAGUUUGUGAAUUUGCCACCCUGGAGAUACAUGCACCAAAUUUGGUGGGAUUUAAUUAUUCUCAUUUACUUUAAUAAUAUAUAUAUAUAUAGAGCAAGGCUGCUGUGCUUUCAGGAGCACGGAGGCCUCUAUGCUCCUGAGCCGUUUUCGAUGAUGGAGUUUCCGAAUCGACGAUCGGCUCCGUUAAACUUGAUCUAGCGUAUUUGAAGUUUCUAGAAAAUAAUUUUUGCGAUUUUUCGAUAUCAUUUACCUAGCAAUCGAAAUGAUUCAAAAUCAAUAAUUUUUAACGGCUGAAAAUAAAAAUUCAAUAAAAAGUGGUGAUAUAGCAUUAAAAUUUUCGAUCAGAAAUAUUGAUUUUGUUGUAGAUAGUAUAAAAAAUUUUGUUUCAAAAUUUCAUCUGAUUUGAAUACUUCUACACUGUUAAACUUGAAAACGACAGAUAUCAACCAUUAAAAAUUAUAAAUUUUGAAUCCUUUCGAUCACUAGGUAAAUGAUAUAAAAAAAUCGCAAAAAUUAUUUUCUAGAAACUUCAAAUGCGCUAGAUCAAGUCUAACGGAGCCGAUCGUCGAUUCAAAAAUUCCAAUCAAUAAAAACGGUCAGGAGCACGGAGGCCUCCGUGCUCCUGAGAGCACAGCAGCCACGCUGCUCUAUAUAUAUUAUAUAAUAUAAAGUUGAGCUAGAAUACUCUCGAUAGUAAACGGGACGUUUUACUAUCGAGUUGUUUUCGAUGAUAGAGCUUCCAAAUUGCGAUCGGCUUCGUUGAACAUGAUCUAUACCACUUGAAGUGUUUCGAAAUCAAAUUUUAAAUCUUUUCGGCAUCAUUACCUAAUGAUCAAGGUUAAAAUUUGUAAUUUUAAUGGUGGAUAAGAAAUGUUUUCUUGUUUAACGGUGUAAAGAUAUCCAAAUAAAUUGAAUUUUUGUUAGAAAAUUCUUUAAACUAUUUAAAACAAGAUCUAUACUCUUGAUCUUGAUUACAAGACUCCUAUCAUCAUUUUUUAAAGAAUAUUCAUUUUCAGCCAUUCAUUUUUUGUUCACUAGAUGGAUAAAAGAACAAUAUCGAAAGUGCGUGAAAUUUGAUUUUUAGGUAGUUUAAAUGGUUUAGAUCAUAUUUAACGGAGCCGAUCGUCAAUUUGGAAGCUCUAUCAUCGAAAACAACUCGAUAGUAAAACGCCUUGUUUACUAUCAAGAGUAUUCUAGCUCAACUCUAUAUAUAUAUAUAUAUAUAUAUAUAUAUAAUUGAACCUUAGCAUAUAUAUUCCCUAUAGGGAAAGAGUCAUAUAUUUAUCAUGUCAAAUUGGUGCUUACUGCUUUGUCAAAUUGGGCCCAGCCACUGAGAUGAUGUUUCUUCAUAAAUUAAUCACAUGGGCAGAUCUAGCCUUCAGUUUCAGUUUUGAUUCACAUUGAAAUAAAACUUCAGUAGGAGAGUUCUCGAUCCCUAUUUCAUAUUAAUUUUACUUUCGUCUAAAAGUGUAUUGAUGUUUUCUAAUACUAAAAUAAAUAAAAGAACUCUAGAAUAGAGAAGAUCAAGGAUUCUAAACGAAACAUUGAUGUUCAAAUUGGGUCCGUUUUAUUAUUUAGGAUUAUCCAAUGGUGGAAAUUUUGCAAAAUCAUUUAGGGGGGUGGGACUUUUUAGCACAAUAAUAAUUAUUCGGUAUUAUAAACACAGAAAAGAAAGAUUACUCUCUAUUAACCUGUAAAAUAAAAAAAAAAAGGUUGAUAUAUUUAUUAUCAGAAUAAAAAUAUUACUGCAUAUGUUCAAAUUUAUACAAUAAACGGUAGCCAUGUGUAAUCAAUUGCGCCCACAUAAAGAAUGUACAAUUACUGCAAUAAAUUUAGUUUUAAUAUAAGCAACCUUUAAUUUUAAUAAGCAACCAAAAUAUAAAUAUUAAAAGAGAUCUUUAUAUAUAAAAAUGCAGUAGCAUUUCAUCUGUAUAUAUUUGUAGUUAAAUUUGAACUCAAAUAAAUGUUAGUUUAUUAGAUUGGGCACUCAUCCGAAAUCAUCAAUUUCAGAGGAAAAGAGCUUGUUUUAAACUUAAAAAAUCACUAACAUAGACAAUUUUUAUUAUUGAAGAAAUAUAUUUUUUUUCAAAAGGAUAUAAAUACAUUUUCCCGUAAAAUACUGUUCGCAUAUCUAAAAAAAUAAAAAAUUUCAAACUAUAAAAAGAUAUUACACACUUUUUUAUUCUUCUUUAAAUAUCAAAUUACUAGAAACCGAGUGAUCAAGUGAUCAGGUGAGUAUAAUUUAAAAAAAAACAGUGUACACAAGCAUAAAAAAAUAAAUAAAUAAAUAAUAUUUAAUAGUGACCUAUUUGUAAUAAAAAAAAUAUAUUAUUACAUCAUCAGUAUUACGAAGGACACAAGAGAAGGGAUCCCAUCAAGGUUGGGUUGUUGACGGAGAAAUUAGCGGCGAAGUCCCUGACUUUCCUCACACUUGUCGUUUACUCCCUCUUUCGCCCCGCUGUCUUAAUAAACCCAAUGUUUAUCUAAUCCACCGGCUUCCCAAGUGGGCCACUUGCUAAUUACCUUUUUUUGGGAACGAAAAUUACACAAAACACCCUUGCAUUACUUGGAAUUUUGCACAAACACCAUGUACAUUUUGGGGGAGAGAAUUUUGGCUAUAGUGGGUACAAAUGAACCACACUAGCAUAUUUGAAAAAUAUUUUACUCCGCACUUAAUAUUUUCUAAUCAUUACUAAAUUAUCUAUUUAACCACUUUGGUUUUGUGUUUUGGAGUUUUAUUUUCUUUGUUCUCCUAAUACUUGAAGUGGAUUGUGGUUAGGGAUGCAAACUAUGUAGACCCAGCGGCGGGAGGGGUCCUCCAACUCCCACUUCAUUAUCUGUCGGGAUCGGGACGGAUUCGGAGUGAUUUAAUUUCCAUUUUAUUUUUGACGCCCAUUUCUCCACCGGAGGUGAAUAAAAGCGGGAGCGAGUUUUUGGCGGAUCGGGACGGAUCGAAGGAAAUAAGAGAUCUCCCACCUCCUGCUCCAUUAACUUGAUAGAUCGAGACUGAUUCGGGACUGACUAUAUUUUUUUAUAUUUUUUGUUCCCGCUUAUCACUCCAUUCGAGAUGGAUCAAAACGAAAGUUCUACCAAUCCGGAACAAUUUGCAUCCCUAGUUGUUAUAUGGAUUUAUCCAAAACUUCUAAUAUAACCAAGUCCUAUUUCCUAUUUUAGUGAAUAUUUAUAAAAAUUUCACAAAUAAAUAACUAAAAUUGGAUGAUUAAAUUUCAAUUAUUUUCAUGUUUUGCUUUAUAUUGCAACUUUGUAGCCACUUUCUAAGGAUGCCAGAGAGAGAGAGAGAGAGAGAGAGAGAGAGAGAUGCUGUAUUAGCUUUUUGUCUAAAACAGUGUAUGAAUGUCUCUGAUAUUUACACUGAAAAUGAGAUGCGAAGCUGCAAUAUUCCCACUCAAGUCCAAGCAGCUAAUUGGAAGCUAUUACUUCAAGUUUCUAACAUCAAUCAAUUUCAAAUUGAUUAGCAGGUGUAAACUGUCAAAGGAUUUUGCAACUAUAUAAUGUUUCUCUAUUAAUUUUAUUCCACCUGACCGACCGUCCCUAGAACAAGUGGCAAAGGAUUUGGUGGUUGGUAUCCAAGACACAAGUUCGAAUCCUAAUUGAUUCACAUUUUCAGCUAAAUUUAUUUCUAAUUGAAAUAAAUGAAACGGGUAGCAUGCUACCUUUUUCUCUUAAAAAAAAUUUUAUUCCACCUGUGGGAAAAUAAAAAUAAAAAGCAUUCUUUAUAACUAGAUUUUCACCCGUGCGAUACACGGCUAAUAUAAUAAUAUAGAAUAAUAAUAAAAAUUAUUAUGUGAUGACAAUAAAAAGAUUUUCUAAAUAAUUUUAUAUUUUUUAACAAAUAAAAAAAUAUACUAUCAAUCUUAAUUAUAGUAUAUAUUAAAGUACACAAGCGAGAGAAAAAAAAAAUUGGACCAAAAUAAAUAUUCAACUAAAAUACAAAAUUCAAUCCUACUCUAUUAUCUAUGAAUUGGUGUGCAAAAUAAUUUACAUUUACAUAUUGAUGUGCGAAAUAAAAUGAUAACUAAAAUUGAUAUGAAAAAUUACAAAUGACAUGAAUAUUUAAGCAUAUAAUGAGAUCAACUAAACUUUCAUAUUUGACACACAUUAGAGUAAGCACACAUAUAUUAUGUUUCUACUGUCACUUUUAAUAUUCAAAAAUAUAUAGAUGUUGAUUUUCAAAAAAAUAUAAAGAAAAAAAUUUUGUUGCAUGAAGAUGAAAAGUUACAGGAGUGACAGUAGGGAAAAAAAUUACGAAAUAAAAAUUACAGAAGUAAUAGGAAAAUAAUAUGUUCUAUUUUAAAGCAUCAAUAUUUAAGAGCGAAGAAAAUUACAGGAGCGAUGUGAGUUUAAAAUUUUUUCCUCUUUCAAAAAAUAUCUCUAUCCAUUUUUACUAAUAUUUUUAUGUCCAGAAAUUUUUAACCAAUCAUUUCAAAUAAUUAACUAAAUAGUAAUUUAUUUCCAAAUAAAGAUAAAUAUUUUUUUUCUCAUGCAUAAUAUCUGCACCGGCCAAUUUUUUUGCCACAUAAUAUCCGUGAAUUUUGAAAAUAUCUCAACAUAAUUACCAAAUAUCCAAAUUUGAGUUUGACACGUGGCAAGCAUAUAGAAAGCCACGUGUCAGCUUCUCACAUAGGGUUCAUUAAGGGUUCUACUUUUAUAUAUAGUAAUAGAUGCUCACAUCAUGUAAAAUAAGCCAUUAAGUGUAUCAAACAUAUUUAUUGAUACUUUCCAAUGUUGAACUGGUUUUAAGUUGUUACUUCUUCUCAUUAAAUUCAUGCAUCAUUAUAUGAUUGUGAUGCAUGCUAUUGUAAGAUAUAAAUGUUACUAGCAACAAUAGAAAUGUUAUUUUUAUUGUUACAGCAUAAGGGCAAAGAUUACCUAAUUUCUAGGGAACAUUUCAUCAUUACCCUUCCAAAUAAGUCUAAAAUCAUGAAUGCCCCUAUAAGAAUUGAAAUGUCAUAAAUGACAUUUUAAAAGAGAGAAACUUAAAAAAAUAACCUUUACACUAAUUUAUUAUCAAUUUUGAAUAAACAACAAACAAAAUUCCAACUUUGUCCCUAUUGUUGUUACCAUCUUAAAAUAUUCAAUUGACUAUAAAAUCAUUUAUAAUUUUAUAAACACUAUUUUACAUUUAUAAAUAACCUACAUUUAGAGAUAAGUUUUUGUCAAUUAAAAAAAAAAUAAUCCUGACAAGUUAAGCUAAGAAAAAUUUUUUUUUGAAAAAAAGCAAAAAAAAAUUGUUUAAAGUAUCAAUUGACUCAUUAAAAUAAGGUUAAACAGUUUAUUCAAAAUAUAACUUAAAUAUAUAUGCAUGAUGUGAACUAAGUUAUUUGAACUAGCACAAAUUUCUAUGCUUUGGCAUAUCAAAUUUUAAAAUAAAUGAUGUAAAGUAUCUUAUUUUAGUAUCUUAUUUUCAGUUCUUAUUUUACAAUUUACACGGUAGUAAAGUGAUAUAUUUUACUCUUUAUUUUAAUAUAUUAAAAUAAAUAUACCAUGCUAAAAUACUUUCGUAAAAAAAUUUAGAAGUUAAGGGCAAAAUAGACAUUUCGACCAUAUUUAUGAUAAUCUAAAUAUUUUAUCAUUCUAUAAAGACAUGAAGAGUAAGGGUAAGGGUAUAUUUGAAGGGCAGUUGUGAUAUAAUCAAAUUUUUAGGGACAUUUAUGAUAUUUUUGACAAAUGAAAUUGACCCUAAUUUCUAAGUUGAAUGGACAAUGUAUAUUUUUUUUUACAUAUAAAGUUAUAAAAAAGGCCAAUUUGCAUAAAAAAUCCACUUAUUUUGGGCUUUUGCAAAACCGGGCCACCUUUUUCAUAUUUACAGAUUCGAUCCGCUUUUUCAGCAAACUGACAAAAAUACCUUUAUUACUUUUUCUUUUUCCUCUUUCUUUCUCUUCUUCGUUUCUUUCGUUCUUUUUUUUUUUCUCGCCGGCAGAGCGGAGGCAGAAACGGUCCGUCUCGCCUCUCACCCUCAUGGUCUCGCCCUCGCCCUUGCCCUCGUCCAUGCACCUCCCACCUUCCUCACCUCCGACCCGGCCAAGGCCGUGCUGCGACUUUUUCUUUUGCUUUUUUCUUUUCUUUUCUUCUCCGACUCUUCUCCGCCGUCUCCGAUGACGACGCCUCUCGCCGUUCCCCGCCCUUCUCAUCUCUCCCUUUUCCUUAUUUUCUGCCGCCUCCGACGACGAUUUAUCUUCGCCGGCGCCGACGUCGACACCGUAGAGGUCACUGCGGCGCUACAGCCUCGGAGCGGGGGGUCCUUAGCGGCGUCGUCACCGGCGCCGUAGCUGUUGGCAGAGAAGGUGACAAAAAAAAUUAUAGAAAAAAUAGAAAAAAAAUAAAGAUAAAAAAUUAUAUAAAAAGAAGGAUGAAAAUAAAAUUGCAUCGUUAAUUACAAAAAAAAUUAUAAGUUGCACUAUUUAAGAUGUAAAUUGCUGCUUUAAGAUAAAAAUUAUACUCUUUGAACGAAAUUUAUAUAAUUUUAUCGAAACUGCAUCUUUGUAGUAUAUUUAUAUCUGUUUCUCUUUGUUGCAUGUUUUCUAUUAGUUGACUAUUUCUCCUUUAUUUACACAGAAUGGUUGCAACAAGGGAUAUACAGUGUAAAAGAGAGAACGAGUUAAUAUUAUCUUAAAGGGUUGAAGUUUUCUCUUAUUGUAUGUUUCUUCUUUGUGCAUAUUUCUUUAUUGUAUACAAGAGAAAUGGAACAAGAGGACGAAUAGUGCAACAGAGUAGAAACAUAGAUAUAUCUCUUGAAAAUAGUGCAGUUUUCUUUUGUUGUCUAUUUUUCUCUUGUUACAAGAAAUAUUUGCAACAAAGAGGAUAAAUAGUAUAUUACCUCUUAAAACAGUGCAUUUUCUUUCUGUGCAAAUAUUUUUUCUCUUUAUUUAUAUAGAAAUGUUAACAAGAGGGAAAAACAUGAACAAAGGAGAAACAAUUAAAUAUUCUUUAAAAGGGUACAGUUUAGAUAAAAAAUGUGAAUAAUAAGAAAUGAUGUAACAAGAGGGAAAAAGUGAACUUUUGUUUAAUGUAGUGUAAUGAUUCAUCUUAAUGGAUGCAGUUUACAUCUGAAAGGGUUAUAGAAGAAAAUUUAUAAAUAUCUAUCAAGAGGUAAUUUUGUUUUAGAGUGUACUUUUAUCUUAAGUUGCAGUUUUAAUCUUAAGUAGGCAACUUAUAAUUUUUUUGAACAUUAACGAUGCAAUUCAUAUUCAUCUUUUUUUAUAUAAUUUUUUUUUUAUAUUUUUUUUGUUUUUUUAUAUUUUUUUUUUUGUCACCUUCUGUCAACAGGACCCGGUGCGGCGACUUGAAGCGCUAAGGACCCCAUUUCCCGAUCUGUAGAGCGCGUGACCUCACGGUGUCGACGUCGGCUGCGGCGAAGAUGCUAUCGUCGUCGGAAGGCAGCAGAGAUGGGGAGAGGAGAGAUGAGAAGCGGGGAAAAGCGAGUAGGCGGAAAGGCGGUUCGUCGCGAGGACGGUGGAAAGAGUCGGAAAAGAAAAAAUAAGAAAAAGCAAAAAAAAAAUUCGCGGGCGCCUUGGCGCGUAGAAGGCGAGGAGGUGGGGGUCGUGGACGAGGGCAAGUCAGGCGAGGCGAGGCGCGAGAGAAGAAUCGUUGAGAGACGCGAGAACCGGUUUCCGCCUCCGCGCUCCCUCUCCAUGGCGAGAAAAAGAAGAACAGAGAACGAGGAGAGGAGAGGAAAGAGGAAAUAGAAAAAAUAAAAAGGUUAUUGGGGGUUCUGUUGUGAAAAAGGAAUCGAAUCUAAAAACGAAAUAAGUGGACCGAGCCGGUUUUGAAAAGUCCAAAAUAAAUGAGUUUUUUAUGCAAUUGGCCUAUAAAAUAUGUGCACGAGUAAAAAAAUACUCAAAAUUUUAAAACAUCUUCUAGCUACAAAGUUUAGAAAUCAGUACGUGAAAUAUGAUCUUCUAUUUCAUCUCUUUCGCCUUAAAGAAUUUUAGAAAUGUUAUCACAUACAAAAGAAAUUAAGGACUAAAAAUUAAAAAAAUUAUAAGUACUAAAAUCGGACUAUCAUUUUACUUAUUUAAUUUCCAUAUAAUGUAUUAACUAAUACCAUAUUGAUUUCUUGCCAGUGGCCAGAAACCAUUAAUCUUGCAUAAUAAUAUAAUAUUAAUUAAGUGAUAGAUAAUCUAUUAACUCUCUUCUAUAUAUUCAUAUGUUUCAUCAUAUUUUAUAUUAAUUUUAUAUUAAUUCUUUUUUUUUUUGUAAUACUCUCUCUCCGCAACUUCACCUCCCCUCUAUCCCCACUUACGUUUUGUGUAGGUUAUGAUUUCAUUAAUAUUUCAUCAAUUAUUUGGUAUAUUAGAAGGUGAUUCUAUUAUGUAAUUGAUAUCAUAAUUGAUUAUAGACUAAUUAUUCGUAGUCACCGUUUCAUUCUUUUUUUAANNNNNNNNNNNNNNNNNNNNNNNNNUUUUUUAUGAAAUUUUAAAAUAUAUUUACCUAAUAUGUAAAAUAAUUAGAUUUUAAAUUUAGGCUCUCAGUAUCAAUCAUUACAAGAUUAAUUCUAUUUGAAUGUUCUCGAGCUGAUCCUCCUCUACACAUAUCGUCUUUGCUAUCUCCAUGCCACCGAUCCCAUCCGUGAGUAUUUUUUUCAAAUAUGAUAAUUUUUUUAUAUAGAUUUGAGUGAUUUGGCGAGAAUUAGUAAUAUUUUGAGGUUAAUUAGAAUUUUUUUGGUUCAAUUUGAGCGAUUUGGCAUGAAUAGAUGACAUUUUGAAAUGCUAUAUGUUAUAGAAAUGCUAUAUGUUAUUUGCAUAAUUAUUAUUCGUACUACAUUACACAUUCUAGACUAAAUGAAUGAACAAUCUAUAUUGUAUAUAUUAGUAUAUUUCUAUAUACUCUAAUUAGGAUUUAUUUAGAAUUUUUUUUUUCCUAUUGCAUCGAUUGCUAUAUAAUUGUCUAUAUUGUACCCUUUUUGACAUAGUAAUAUUUUAUUUAGUUAUAUUAAUAUUUUUAUUAUUUAUAAAUUUUUUUACUUUAGCAGUAACUAUCCGCCGCAUCGUGCAGGUACCUACACUAGUGUUAUAUUAUAUUGGCAUCCAGGCUAAGGACAGUUGUGUUAACCUCAUCACAACCAACUUGGUCCAUUAUUUUAUUGACCACAAACAUGACCCUCAAUUAGUUUAGUUUAAUUUAAUUUAAUUUGUCCACCUUAAUGCCCCACCAAAACCCACCCCUUUUUAUCUUUCAAACAAUCUCCUACUUUUCUCCGCUCCUAAGAACACUCUCUUGGGAAAACCCACCUAUAAAAAUUUAAAACAGAUCAUUAAAUAAAAGCCCAAUUGUCCAAUUUGCAUAACUAAAUUUUCCAACACCAAAUUGUCCCAUGCUUUCGCGCAGCUACUUGUAUGCCCAAAAAUUAUGGUAAAUAAAAUAUACUUUAUUUAUCUAGAAGUCAAUUUUAUUAUGCUAGUCUUAUUACUAUUUUAUUAUUUUAAUAAUAAAAAUUUUAAAAAAGUUUUUGAACUCUAGAUGGGAUGUAAAAUAUACGCGAGUGUUAUUUCUCUAAUAAGCCCAAUUGCCCAAUUGGUACAAAACCUGCAGGUUUUCACACCCCAAAUUGUUUUUUUUUUUUGGUAAAAAAUAAGUCAUCAAAGACCCACUCCUUUUUUUCCACCAAAACCUCACCAUAUAUAAAACACACCCCUUGGAAUUUUCAACUGCAAAAUAUUCAAACAAACCAUAAAAUAAUCAGCCAAGUUGACCCAUUUGAGCUUGCUCAAAACUUUUUAUAAAUAGAUUUUGCAGGCAAAAAAAUAAUGCUACACAUAUAUAUACAUCCAUUUUUGAAUGUUUAUAUAUAUUAUUAUCUUAACAUUAUAUUACUACCGCAGCUCCAACUUUUUUUACACCCAUUUUAUCAUGUAUAUCUUUUCAAUACUAAAAAUUCAACAAAAAUGAUCUUAAAUCUUGUAAUAAAAAAAGUUGUAAACUAUCCAUCCCAGCAGCAGGAUGUACAAGGAGCAUUUUUAUUCUCCAACAAACUCUUUUUUAAAGCAAUAAAUAUAAUCCCCAGUUGCCCCAUUUGCACAAAUUAAAGCCCCAGGUCUCCUAACCUGUUCCUGCCCCAACAAAGCCCAACAAAAUAAAAUUAAAAAUAAAAAAAUUAAAAUUAAAAAGUUCACCAAAAACCCACACCCCUUCCUCCUAAUUAGUCCUAAACACAUCUCUCUCUCUCUCUCUCUCUCUCUCUCUCUCUCUCUCUCUCUAUAUAUAUAUAACAUAAAACCACCCCUCCACCCACUCCUUCCUCUAAUACCCACUUUUACGGAGAGAGAGUAGAGAGAGAGAGAGAGAGAGAAGAGAAAGAAAAGAAAGAAGAGGAAAAUGCCUUGCAUAGUCCCUACGAAACGACCGUACAGAUGCAGCACCAAAUGGUGGUGUGGGGUCGGGCGGCGCGGCGCGGCCGCAAAAGGCUGCACGACGCACCAAGUGCCACGGAGGAAGGGUGGCGCGGCAACAAACGACAAGCGCGCGCGGCGGCGGACACGUGCUCGCUCGGCGGGGUGCAAGGCGGGCGGCGCACCGGUGCGCAGGUGUGGUCGGUGUUCGCAAAAAUAGAGCACAGAGACAUAUCGACGCCCCGCAGUCGAGUAAGAAGUCGUUCGUAGCGACAGACCUGCCACGUCAUCGGCGGCGGGUCCACGCGGCGCCCGGAGUGCGCGUGUGUCGGGCCCCCGGCGGCGAACGAGACCGGGAGCGGAACUGAACUGGGAUUCCAAUGAAGAACAGGAGCCGCCACGUGGUCUGAGCUUUCCCGUGUCGUCGCCGACCACCCGCCCUCGCGCAAACAUACUCAUGUCGUGACCACGCCCUCCACGCCGCCCCUUCGCUUUUCCCGUCGCACUCCGUGGACGGUCGAGGGGCUACCGUCGUCGUCGAGUCCUACGUCGUCGACGUCCCCGCCCGAAACCCGCGAACGACACCCGCCUCUUCGACACCAUUCGUCCCCUGCAACCUCCACUCCCUCGCCGCACCGCCGAGAAGCUCACCUCCAACCCUACACCCCCCCACCUCCAAAACCUAAUUUCACCCCACCCCCAACCCCUUCUAAGGUAAAAAUGUACUCAACCCCCCCCCCCCCCUACACUAUUUUUCUCCUUCGAAAUAGCCCCCCUCCUUUCCGACUUUUUUUAUUAUUUAUUUUCAUAUAUAUAUAUAUAUAAUUAUAUUAUAUAAUACGCGUGCUCAUCUAAUUACUUUCUAAUUAAUUGUAUUAUGAGAACUUCGUAAAAUUUCCAUUUAAUUUAAUAGCUCCACUGGCUACUGGUGGCUGUUGAAGUUUCGAUGAUUAAUUUUUUAUUAAAAAUGUUGAGAGAGUACAGUUUUAAUUAAUUAAUGAACCAGAAAAAAAAAAAGAAAAAGAAAAAACAAAAGGGAGAGUCAAGGGAGGUAGUUCACAAUGCGGUAUAAUCGAGGGGUCGCUGUACAUAUUUGCCUCUUUCUUUGUUUGUUUGUUUCUUUCUUAAUAUGUUUUCCAACAAACCCCGAGGUGGCGCGGGCCCCACCACGCCCAUCCACUUGAAAGGAGAGGACGACGACGACGAUGACGACUUCCUCGUUGCGUUACCGCCUCACCCGCAUUCAAAGCCGUGGCCUCUUUUUCCUUUCCUUUCCUUUCUUUU